AUGUUUAUCUUAACAGGUUUUUUAGAUAAGAUCAAAAGUCCUAAUAAGCAGAUCAAAAAUCACAAGCUAAGACAUUUAUUUACAAAACUAAAUCAAAUUUUUACUUUUCCAAUGUUCCAAUUUUUAGUUUCUGCUCCAAAUAAAGAGAAACAGCAAAAAGGUAUCAGAACAAAAUUCAACUACCAACCCUUCAAAAACAAAAUCAGUUUCAAUAAAUACAUGUAG